CCUACGGGUGGCAGCAGUGGGGAAUAUUGCACAAUGGGGGAAACCCUGAUGCAGCAACGCCGCGUGAGUGAAGACGGAUUUCGGAUUGUAAAGCUCUGUCAGCAGUGAAGAAGAAAGACGGUACCUGACUAAGAAGCCCCGGCUAACUACGUGCCAGCAGCCGCGGUAAUACGUAGGGGGCAAGCGUUAUCCGGAUUUACUGGGUGUAAAGGGAGCGUAGACGGCAGUGCAAGUCUGCAGUGAAAACCCGUGGCUCAACCGGUGAACUGCAUUGGAAACUGUAUAUCUUGAGUACUGGAGAGGCAGGCGGAAUUCCUAGUGUAGCGGUGAAAUGCGUAGAUAUUAGGAGGAACACCAGUGGCGAAGGCGGCCUGCUGGACAGAAACUGACGUUGAGGCUCGAAAGCGUGGGGAGCAAACAGGAUUAGAUACCCGGGUAGUC
rnacentral:rRNA from 1 species